UAAGACGGAGGGCGCAAGCGUUGUUCGGAAUUACUGGGCGUAAAGGGCGGGCAGGCGGUCCGUUAAGUCUCCUGUGAAAAUCCGGGGCUCAACCCCGUGAAAUGCAGGAGAUACUGGCAGACUAGAGACCGGUAGAGGCUAGCGGAAUUCCUGGUGUAGCGGUGGAAUGCGUAGAUAUCAGGAAGAACACCUGUGGCGAAGGCGGCUAGCUGGGCCGGAUCUGACGCUCAUCCGCGAAAGCGUGGGGAGCAAACAGGAUUAGAUACCCUGGUAGUCCACGCCGUAAACGAUGGGCACUAGGUACCGGGUCUAUAGACGGAUUCGGUGCCGCAGCUAACGCAUUAAGUGCCCCGCCUGGGGAGUACGGUCGCAAGGCUG
rnacentral:rRNA from 1 species